rnacentral:rRNA from 1 species
CUGAGUUUACGCUCUACAACCCUUUGUGAACAUACCUAUAACUGUUGCUUCGGCGGGUAGGGUCUCCGUGACCCUCCCGGCCUCCCGCCCCCGGGCGGGUCGGCGCCCGCCGGAGGAUAACCAAACUCUGAUUUAACGACGUUUCUUCUGAGUGGUACAAGCAAAUAAUCAAAACUUUUAACAACGGAUCUCUUGGUUCUGGCAUCGAUGAAGAACGCAGCGAAAUGCGAUAAGUAAUGUGAAUUGCAGAAUUCAGUGAAUCAUCGAAUCUUUGAACGCACAUUGCGCCCGCCAGCAUUCUGGCGGGCAUGCCUGUUCGAGCGUCAUUUCAACCCUCAAGCUCUGCUUGGUGUUGGGGCCCUACAGCUGAUGUAGGCCCUCAAAGGUAGUGGCGGACCCUCCCGGAGCCUCCUUUGCGUAGUAACUUUACGUCUCGCACUGGGAUCCGGAGGGACUCUUGCCGUAAAACCCCCAAUUUUCCAAAGGUGA